rnacentral:lncRNA from 1 species
UUUCAAUUGCAAAAGCUCUACCAAAUUAAAUUCUCAAAAUUCAAGUUUUUUCACUUUUAAGAAACUUUGAAUUUUCACUAUUUCUUUUGAGUUCUUGAGCAAUUUUGUUUCCACCUUCAUUGCAUUGAAUUUAUAGAACCUUUACCUACACAAAUCACUUACCAAAAUAGCUCAAUUCAAGAUCAAAGGUUUAGUUGAAUUUAAGCUUAUAUUUUAGUUUAGGAGGUUGAGAGAAUUCAAAAUCUACAAAAAAUUUCGAACUGGAGAGUCACCGCGUCCACCAUUGUUGCAAGCAAAUUCUUGAGUUUUUUUUGUCAAAGUAAGUUUAAACCUCAUUUUUUUCUUAUGUUUUCUGUGUGUUGUGAUAUUUAUACAUGCUUAAGGAACUUAUUUCAAUCAUUAGUUACGUGAAAAUGCACUUAAAUGAAUUUCUGGAAAAUCGCUCAAGAACACUCCUGAACUCAUGAACACAAAAAUGUCAAAAUUGUGAAUCUCGAUCAUAAAUUGCAAAAUCAUAUACUAUUUGAACCAAUUUUUUACGUUGAUCAUGAAUAUGUAAUUAGUUUUAUAUUUUGAUGUGUAUUUUGGCCAGAUCGAACGAUUUUUCAUUAAGUACUCCAUUCACUUUUUGGCUUGAUUUUCAUGAACCAUAGCUUGUUUGUUAAAUUUGAUCACAUAUUUGGAUUUAGGGCAAAAGUCCAAGUCCAACGGUAUACAAUUUGUAAUUUAAUUAUUUGAAUUGGAAUUUUAUUCACGAGGUUGUUGAAAAAUGAUGAACAAAUGAUGAACAUUGCUAAAAUGAUAAAUAAAUCCAAAAUUAUUCUAGGUCGUCCGAUCUGGCAAUUUUUUUUCUUCCUUUUUUCCAGCGCUGCCACAUGGCGUGUCCUGAUUAUUCGCUGGUAGUUGCGAGUGGGGGAAAAAGAUCAUGUACAGGAUCCCCACAUGAGCAUUGUACACCCGAUUGCAUUAUGACAACUGAUUACAUCAGAUGGUGGAGAAAGAUGCAGUCAACAUAUGUGUGUUAACUAGCACGUUUGGGCCUCAUGGGCCAGAUUUGCUAGCGCCACCCCUUUGUUUUUACUUUAUGUUUUUACUUUUUAUUUCUUUUAUUUAUUUUGAUAAGUUCAUAUCCCCAUAUCUUCU